rnacentral:lncRNA from 1 species
UUGUAUGGCUUGCAAGUGCACACACAAGAUUAAACUGUUACUCAUUCCAAAUUAGUGGGAAUAUUUAGCAAGAAGCUUAAUGUGUUUCUUGGAAAGAGUAGAAACAAAAACCAAAAAACAAAGCUCUCACUCUGGGAAGUUUUUAUGGGCUUCAUUUUAGGGACUAGAUUAAAAUAUGAGGACAAUAACAGGAAAAAAUGAAACAUCCAAAUUAUGUCUUCAGUUGCCAUGGUUAAGCACAAUUUUAGCUUUUUGGUAUGUUCCAAUCAUGGAUCAUUUGAAAUCUAUAAUCUGAGUGAAUUUAUAACUCAACCUGUUUUAUUCAAGCGUCCAUUAACUUUCCAAAACUGCCCCCAGACCAAUUCCAUGGACCUUCUGGUCAUUCACAGUGGACCUGCUUAUUGCCCACUGUGUUAUCACUGUGUUUUACGGCAAUUCAUCCAUCAGCCCGAAAUUAAGGACUUUCCUGAAAGAAUCUGGAGCUCCAACAAUUGUUUAUGUAUCAUAAAAAUACAAUAAUUUGCCAUCAAAGGCUUUAUAAGUGAGGAAGAGAGAAAGAAAGGAUAAUGAUGUUGCUCAUGCUUU